AAUUUUGGACAAUGGGUGAAACCCUGAUCCAGCCAUCCCGCGAGUAUGAUGAAGGAAUUCGAGAUGUAAAGUACUUUUGGCAGAGAAGAAAAGGCAUCGACUAAUACGGGAUGAUGCUGACGGUAUCUGCAGAAUAAGCACCUGCUAACUACGUGCAAGCAGCCGCGGUAAUACGUAAGGUGCAAGCGUUAAUCGGAAUUACUGGGCGUAAAGCGUGUGUAGGCGGUUCGGAAAGAAAGAUGUGAAAUCCCAGGGCUCAACCUUGGAACUGCAUUUUUAACUGCCGAGCUAGAGUAUGUCAAAGGGGGGUAGAAUUCCACGUGUAGCAGUGAAAUGCGUAGAUAUGCGGAGGAAUACCGAUGGCGAAGGCAGCCCCCUGGGAUAAUACUGACGCUCAUGCACGAAAGCGUGGGUAGCAAACAGG
rnacentral:rRNA from 1 species